GUCCUGUUACACUUGGCUGUGACCAAUGACAAGCAAAUUAGUAUGAUUCAUGUAAAAGAAUGAAGCAAAGGGAAAGAAAAGAAAAUCAGUAUUUAUGCCAGUAAUUUUAUGUGCUUUUGCAGUGCACCCAGAUGCAUAUGUGCAUGCAUGUGCUCACACACACAUCUAGUGAAAACAAACGCACCCUUCCUGCAAUUCCACUUGAAAU
rnacentral:misc_RNA from 1 species